rnacentral:misc_RNA from 1 species
GAGAACGUAGCGAAAUGCGAUACUUGGUGUGAAUUGCAGAAUCCCGUGAACCAUCGAGUCUUUGAACGCAAGUUGCGCCCGAAGCCACUAGGCCGAGGGCACGCCUGCCUGGGCGUCACACGCCGUUGCCCCCCCAUCUACUCCUUCGGGAUUGCGGGGGGGCGGAUGAUGGCCUCCCGUGCGCCUAGCCGCGCGGUUGGCAUAAAUACCAAGUCCUCGGCGACGCACGCCACGACAAUCGGUGGUUGCGAAACCUCGGUUGCCCGUCGUGUGCGUUCGUCGCGCAUCGAGGGCUCGAAAAAAUGCUCGGCUCCGGCUGGGCUUUCAACGCGACCCCAGGUCAGGCGGGGUUACCCGCUGAAUUUAAGCAUAUCAAUAAGCGGAGGA